AGUGAACGCUGGCGGUAGGCCUAACACAUGCAAGUCGAACGGCAGCACAGUAAGAGCUUGCUCUUACGGGUGGCGAGUGGCGGACGGGUGAGGAAUACAUCGGAAUCUACUUUUUCGUGGGGGAUAACGUAGGGAAACUUACGCUAAUACCGCAUACGACCUACGGGUGAAAGCAGUGGAUCUUCGGACCUUGCGCGAUUGAAUGAGCCGAUGUCGGAUUAGCUAGUUGGCGGGGUAAAGGCCCACCAAGGCGACGAUCCGUAGCUGGUCUGAGAGGAUGACCAGCCACACUGGAACUGAGACACGGUCCAGACUCCUACGGGAGGCAGCAGUGGGGAAUAUUGGACAAAGGGCGCAAGCCUGAUCCAGCCAUACCGCGUGGGUGAAGAAGGCCUUCGGGUUGUAAAGCCCUUUUGUUGGGAAAGAAAAGCAGCAGGUUAAUACCCCGCUGUUCUGACGGUACCCAAAGAAUAAGCACCGGCUAACUUCGUG
rnacentral:rRNA from 1 species